rnacentral:lncRNA from 1 species
GGAAUUUUAAAAUUUUAUAAGAGUUUGGUUUUAAAUUUGACAGUUCUGUUUUCUCAAGUCAAAAAUCUUAACCUUACUUUUACAAGUGAGUAGGAUUAUUAUUAUUAUUUUAUUUACAUGUAAAUUGAAACAAUAAAUAUUGUGGCUGUGUCAUAAUUUCAAACUCAUUAUGUUGCAGUCUUUUCCAGUUGAUAAAAUUGCAAUUCAAAAACUUUUAGAUUUGCACUGUAUGGAUGGCACAGGAAGAGAAACAAGAGUACAAGAACAUGAAACAUCCUAUUAUAAAUGUAUAUGUAUGUGAUCCUCAAAAAAUUAUUUUACAAAACAAGAUAGAGAAAGAGCUUUAAAAUCCCAAGGAUCCUGCAAAAUGUUUAUUUGGUGUACUAGUCGAAUAAUAGUAUCUAAAAAUAUUGAAACUAUUUUAUGGGCAUGAGGAUGAUAUAGAGCACUUACAUAAAUACCAAAAUCAGAUAAAUAUCUCUUCAAAGUUUAUUUUGAGACUUUCUUCAAAAAUUAAACUUCAGACUGUACAGGAUAGCAUAAUAGCAUAGGAGGCGAAUUAAAAAGAAUUGAUUUACUUACAAGAAAAGAUAUCACAAACAUUAAACUCUCUUAUGGCAUUGAUUUGAAAGAUGGGUAUAUGUACAAUGAUGAUGCAACCAGUGUUUAUUUUUGGGUUGAAUGCUUACAGACUCAUGUCCAAUAUUAUUUUACAAACAACAGGGCAUACUAAUGGAUAUUCAUUAUGAAUUUAACAUUUAUGAUUUUUGUCUUAUGUUCCUUAAUACUGUGCCAAAAGUUUGGUAAAUCCUUUAUCGCAAUCGAUGGAACUCAUGGGCUCAAUUCCUAUGACUUUGAACUUAUGACAGUAUUAGUAAAAGAUGAAUUUGGGAAUGGAUUUUGUACUGCUUUCUUAUUUUCAAAUAGAAAAGAUACCUACUUUAAUUUACCAAUUUUUUUAAAUACAUGUCUGUGUUGGUAUUAUAUGUAUAGUCAAAUGUUUUCAUAUCAGGCAUAAGCGACACCUUUUACAAUGCCUCGUCAAAUGUAAUGGUUAUUGCUCCUAAUAGACUGUUAAGUGCCUGGCACAUAAAUAGGGAAUGCUAAGUAAAUCUUAAUAAAAUAUCUGAUUCUGAAAAAAAUCCUAUUAUGUAUACAAGAUGUAUUAAUGAUGGUUUAGAGAGUAUUAAUAGCUUUUUGGGUAGACUUCUAAGUGAUGCAGAUACAUACAAUUUUAGUAAGUAUUUCCAGUAGAACUACUGCAAUAACAUCCAACAAUGGGCCUAUUGUUAUAGGAAGGGGUUGUGGAAUUAAUACCAAUAUGACCAUUCAAAAUUUUCAUAAAAUUUUGGAUAAAAGGGUAUCCAUUAGUUGUUAUCAGUUAAGUUUAAAACUUGGCACUCAUGGAGAGCUAUACCAUAAUAUAUAAUAGGUAUAUCUCAUAAUAUUACAUCUCAUAUUGCUCACUCAUUACAAUAGUGAGCAAUAUGAGAUGUAACAUAUUAUAGUAUAAGUCUCUGUGCAUGACCAGAUUAACAUGUUUGGUGCCCAUCUCGAACAAGCUCCACUUGGCUGGUACCACAUACUUAAAUCAUUUAUUUAGUUACACAGUACUACUCACAUAACUUAUGUGUCGUCAGUACCUUCCGUAAAACCUUCGUGAUGCUAUCCAUACGUCAUGGCCACUGAAUGUGUUAAAGCUUGUUAAUGUAGGAGAGUUAUACUAAAAUAUAUAUCUUAUAUUAUAUUGCCUUCAAUAGAAAAAAUAUCUUAUUUAAAUUGUAUCCAUGUAAGUUUUGAUUUAAUGAAAUAAACCUUUUAAUCAAAAAAGUGUUGUUUACUUGUGUACACCUAGCAAUAU